AACAAAAAGAGAGUAAAUUAGACCUCACGAAAUAAUUUGAGCUAACUACUUGAGGGUAUAAGUCCAACUUAAUAGUGUGUUGCAAAACACUGUCUUGACAAGUAGUUAGGGGUGAAAGGCCAGGCAAGAAUUAUGAUAUCUUGAUUUUAGGGAAACUCAUUUAGUGAAUAAACAAACUUAAAGUGACAAGGCUUAUAGUAUAAAAUUAACUCUUGAGAGUAAUAUCUAUAGCUUUAACCAGCAAUAUAUGAUGCUAACUACAACUAAAGUAUUCAAGUUAUUUCCAAUACCUAAAUAUAAAAUUACUAAUUGAUUUAUAAUGUUAAUAUGAGUAAGUAAAUAAAUUAGUAGAAUGAACUCGGCAAAUCUACCUUUCGACUGUUUACCAAAAACAUAACUGCAUGAAUACCCAUGCAGCAUUUUCUGCUCAAUGAAUAUUAAAUGGCCGCAGUACUCUGACUGUGCAAAGGUAGCAUAAUCAGUUGGCUUAUAAUUGAAGUCUAGAAUCAACGAAUGCACGGAGGGUUGCUGUGUCCUAAUAAAGUACUAAAAUUAUUUAGUAAGUGAAAAUGCUUACAUAAAAAUAAAAGACGAGAAGACCCUAGAAAUUUAGAUUGAAUUUUGUUGGGGCGACAUAGUAGCAUUAAAACCUACAGUAAGUACAGGAAUUUUAUUAAGAGAAAGAUUAAUUACUCUAGGGAUAACAGCAUAAUUUAGAAAAGUUUGUGACCUCGAUGUUGGACUAGGAAAUUUAAGUUUAGACGACAUAGAAUAUUGCUCUGUUCGAGC
rnacentral:rRNA from 1 species